rnacentral:rRNA from 1 species
GUCGAACGGUAACGCGGGGGCAACCCUGGCGACGAGUGGCGGACGGGUGAGUAAUGCUUGGGAAUCUACCCAGUAGCGGGGGAUAACCUAGGGAAACUUAGGCUAAUACCGCAUACGACCUAAGGGUGAAAGCGGGGGCUUCGUAAGGACCUCGCACUAUUGGAUGAGCCCAAGUCGGAUUAGCUAGUUGGUAGGGUAACGGCCUACCAAGGCGACGAUCCGUAGCUGGUCUGAGAGGACGAUCAGCCACACUGGGACUGAGACACGGCCCAGACUCCUACGGGAGGCAGCAGUGGGGAAUAUUGGACAAUGGGGGCAACCCUGAUCCAGCAAUGCCGCGUGUGUGAAGAAGGCCUGCGGGUUGUAAAGCACUUUCAGUAGGGAAGAAAAGCUCGGGGCUAAUAUCCCCGGGUCUUGACGUUACCUAAAGAAGAAGCACCGGCUAACUCCGUGCCAGCAGCCGCGGUAAUACGGAGGGUGCGAGCGUUAAUCGGAAUUACUGGGCGUAAAGCGCACGUAGGCGGUUGGGUAAGUCGGACGUGAAAGCCCUGGGCUUAACCUGGGAACUGCAUUCGAAACUGCCCGGCUAGAGUAUGGGAGAGGGAAGCGGAAUUUCCGGUGUAGCGGUGAAAUGCGUAGAUAUCGGAAGGAACACCAAUGGCGAAGGCAGCUUCCUGGCCCAAUACUGACGCUCAGGUGCGAAAGCGUGGGGAUCAAACAGGAUUAGAUACCCUGGUAGUCCACGCCCUAAACGAUGUCAACUGGUUGUCGGGGAAGCAAUUCCUUGGUAACGAAGCUAACGCGUGAAGUUGACCGCCUGGGGAGUACGGCCGCAAGGUUAAAACUCAAAGGAAUUGACGGGGA